AUGUUUUGGCUGAUAUACCUCGUUGCCUUGUUGCAGACUUUGCAGGCAGAGGCCGCUCUCAUCGACCCGACAGCGCUAUCUGUGACCGGAAUCCGUCCUGACGACCCGCCCAUCGUCCAGCAACUGGAAACCAGAGGCGGACCAGAACCGCAGAGUGUUCCCUUUCCAACACUUCCUGCUUACACCGCGGCGAAAAAAGUCGAGAAAAAACCUCACAUAGGCAUCCGGUUCAAAAGAUGGGCCAGAAAAAAUGAAAAUGCUCUGCACCUCAUGUGUUGCUGCUGCCUCGCACAUUGCGGUGACAAAGAUGAUUGACGUUGUUAAUGAUGACCACGAUUAUAUGGAGCGCGUUUAGUAGAAAUGAACCAAACCACAUCAGCAAUUGCCAAAUUUAACAGGGCAAUACAAGUUUUUACAAGAUAACGUUUGUGCGGAUUCCUUUGAAAAUGUUGAUGAAUUUGCUUCGUACAAUGUAGACUACACUCAAAAAAAGUAUAGGAAGUGUGACUUACCGGCCGAGUUAUGGAUCAUGGAGCCAUAAAAUAUAGUUUGUGGAGCCAUGCGUAUAGGUUCACGACCAAUAAAGUAUGGCUCAGAAAGCCAUACUGUAGGCGGUAAGUCACUUUGGUUAGAAAUUAUGGAUCUUCGAGCCAUUUUUUUAAGGGUCUCAGAGUCAUACCUUUUUUUAGUGUUUUCACUGGAAGCACUAAAAUCUGCAAACCCGUUUUCGUGUAAAAAACACAAUUACCCAAUUAAAUUUGGCAAUAGCUGAUGUGGCUUGGUCCCUUUCUGCUAAACGCGGUUCAUUUAAUAAUCGAUGACAAGGGUACACAAUAAACAGAAAGGCACCAAGCCACAUCAGCUUUUGCCAAAAACCGGACAAUUUAAUUUUUUCAAAGAGAACGUUUGUAUGGAUUCCUUUGAAAAUAAGGAAUUUGCUGCGAUGCAGAUAAUUCACUGAAAUUUGCACGAAAAUAUGCAAACCCGUUUACAUGUAAAAAACACUAUUUCAUAAUCAAAUUUGGCGAAAAUUGAUGUAAGGAUUAGUUCCUUUCUGCUUAAAGCGGUCCAUAUUCACCCGAAAAUCUUAAGUUACCACGUAUUUUGCCGUGAUGGCGAAGAAAGCCGUAAGUCACACAUUUCGACGGUGAAAUACCAAACCACGUAUCUCGUUUGCGGUUUUUCAAAAUCUCCAGUAUCAUUUUAUUGCUUUGAGAGAGAACGAAUCGAUAUCAUUCUUUGAUGUUUUUACAGAGUUUUCUUCAGACAGAGAAAAAAAUCACGGAAGUUUCGAGGAAUUAAAGUUGAUUGAUUUUCCGUUGAAAAUUAUAGUUUGGCAGAAAGUCUGCAACGUCGCAAACCGAGAAACGUGGUCUGGUAGUUUCACCGUCGAUUUCUGAUAUCAAAUUUUCUUGUCUUAAAACGAGACGUAUGAAAAAGCUGCAAGUGUGCGAAAAAUGACAAGGUUUCAGACAAAACACCAGCAAGGCCUUUUAUUCCUCCAGAAAGCCAAUGAAAACGGUGCUUUCAAGUAAAAUUCCGCCCUUUUCUGCCAAUUUCUAACCUAAGAAUGUGUUUGUUGUGUGUCCAAAACGCAACCACGAAAGAAUGCGGAAGAUGGCACGUACGGCUGCCUUGUCCAAUACUAGCCUAACAUGAAAAUAAAUAAUACCCUUUUUAUAUAAUUAACGAAAAAUUGGUUGACUUUUAGUGCCACCUAUAAGUGCCGAUAGUUUAUGUAUAAGUAAUUUAGUUUUAAGCAUUAGUAGCUUUUUCCGUUUUGAACUGUGCUCACGAUAAGAAGUGCUUAUUCGUAAUUUUAUAGCUAAGUAUGACAAUAAACGAUACAUUUUUUCUUCCAUAUUUUGUACUUUUGCACUUAAAAAUUAUUUAUCCCUCGUAACGUACUAGACUUAGACUGCUGAUUUUUACUCGAAAUUUGCGAAAAGUGCAAUUUUAUGGUACUAUGACGAGGAUCCUCACAAACUUCCCUCGAUCAAACUGUGAACCAAGCAGGUCCAAAAUCCUAGAAUUCCUCAACCCUAAAAUUUUCUCGCAUAUUUUAAGGACUACAUAAUUAUUUGGUUAUUUUCGUUUUCUUAUCAAGUCCGAUACUUGCCUGAGGUUGGGUUUGAGGGCCGCUUUGGGUAAAAAAGGCGGAUCUUAUGAGUUUGCAGGCGAAUGCCGGAAAAUUGCCAUUUUUCGCCAAAAUCGGACAAAGGCGUCUGAUUAGGCCAGUAUUGGACCCGAAAAGAGAUCGGAAAUGACUGAAUUAAUAACAAUAAUAAGGUUUUUAAUUACCAAAAAAAGGCAAUAAGUGGCAAAUUGUGAUAAGCUUAGCGGAUUUCAGGGAUAUAGUAAGAUAAGAUAAAAAAAAAAGUAACAAUCAGACCAUGUUAAGCAGAAACAAACCAAUCCGCAUAAGAUAUUCCCAGAUUUAGUUCGGUAAUUUAUUAUUUUACAUGAAUACGGUUGAGCGGAUAUUUGUGUAAAUUCCAGUAAAUUAUCUGCACAGAACGAAGCAUAGUCCUCAAAAUUGUCAAAGGAAUUCGCACAAACGUUCUCUUGUUAAAAAAUGGAAUCCUCCCGUUAAAUUUGGCAAUUGCUGACGUUUCAUUUCUGCUAAAAGCGGGCCAAUUUCGUUCAAUGACACGGUGACAAGUUUCCCUGGAUUUCAUGAUGCCGUAUUUUUUCCCAACUUAGACAAAGAUAAAUGCAAAACUCAAAAUGAGGGGCUUGGAGGACAAGGCGCAUAAGAGCAUUUUUUGAAAAUGUUUAAAUAUUAAUGAUUUUAAGUAAAACAGGUCUUAAUGCAUAUUCUGUGAAAAAUUCGCUCCCAUAUUCCAAUGUUUUAAAUG
rnacentral:lncRNA from 1 species